rnacentral:rRNA from 1 species
GGCAGCCGCGGUAAUUCCAGCUCCAAUAGCGUAUAUUAAAGUUGUUGCAGUUAAAAAGCUCGUAGUUGAAUUUCGGGGUUAGUAGGUUGGUCAUGCCACUGGUAUGUACUGGUCUCACUGAUUCCUCCUUCCUGAUGAACCGUAAUGCCAUUAAUUUGGGUGUUGCGGGGAGACUGGACUGUUACUUUGAAAAAAUUAGAGUGUUUAAAGCAGGCUAACGCUUGAAUACAUUAGCAUGGAAUAAUGAAAUAGGACGUUCGAUCCUAUUUUGUGGUUUCUAGGAUUGACGUAAUGAUUAAUAGGGAUAGUUGGGGGCAUUAGUAUUCAAUUGUCAGAGGUGAAAUUCUUGGAUUUAUUGAAGACUAACUACUGCGAAAGCAUUUGCCAAGGAUGUUUUCAUUAAUCAAGAACGAAAGUUAGGGAUCGAAGACGAUCAGAUACCGUCGUAGUCUUAACCAUAAACUAUGCCGACUAGGGAUCGGAUGAUGUUAAUUUUUANGUACUUCAUUCGGCGCCUUAC